AAGUCGUAACAAGGUUUCCGUAGGUGAACCUGCGGAAGGAUCAUUACCGAGUUAGGGUACUCUUCGUGCCCGACCUCCAACCCUUUGUCUACCUGACCAGAUGUUGCUUCGGCAGGCCCGCCGCCCCGCGAGGGGCAGCCGCCGGGGGUCCUUACCGGCCCCGGGUCCGUGCCUGUCGAUGGCCCUUCUAAAACUCUUGCUUAAACGUGUCGUCUGAGUAAAACAAACAAAAUAAAAACAAAACUUUCAACAACGGAUCUCUUGGUUCUG
rnacentral:misc_RNA from 1 species